rnacentral:tRNA from 1 species
GGAUCCGUGGUGCAAUGGCAACACAUCUGACUCUAGAUCAGAAGGUUGUGUGUUUGAUUCACAAUGGCAGCA